UACGUAGGGCGCAAGCGUUAUCCGGAAUUAUUGGGCGUAAAGAGCUCGUAGGCGGUUUGUCGCGUCUGCCGUGAAAGUCCGGGGCUCAACUCCGGAUCUGCGGUGGGUACGGGCAGACUAGAGGUGAUGUAGGGGAGACUGGAAUUCCUGGGUGUAGCGGUGAAAUGCGCAGAUAUCAGGAGGAACACCGAUGGCGAAGGCAGGUCUCUGGGCAUUAACUGACGCUGAGGAGCGAAAGCGGUAGGGCGAACAGG
rnacentral:rRNA from 1 species